rnacentral:rRNA from 1 species
AUCAACUUUCGAUGGUAGGAUAGAGGCCUACCAUGGUGGUAACGGGUAACGGGGUGUUAGGGCACGACACCGGAGAGGGAGCCUGAGAAACGGCUACCACAUCCAAGGAUGGCAGCAGGCGCGCAAAUUACCCAAUCCCGACACGGGGAGGUAGUGACAAUAAAUAACAAUACGGGGCUCUUUAGGGUCUCGUAAUUGGAAUGAGUACAAUUUAAAUCUCUUAACGAGGAACAAUUGGAGGGCAAGUCUGGUGCCAGCAGCCGCGGUAAUUCCAGCUCCAAUAGCGUAUAUUAAAGUUGUUGCAGUUAAAAAGCUCGUAGUUGAAUUUCGGGGUCGGUAGGUUGGUCAUGCCAUCGGUAUGCACUGGUCUCACCGAUUCCUCCCUCUUGUAGAAGCGUAAUGCCAUUAAUUUGGUGUUGCGGGGAAACAGGACUGUUACUUUGAAAAAAUUAGAGUGUUUAAAGCAGGCUAACGCUUGAAUACAUUAGCAUGGAAUAAUGAAAUAGGACGUCGAUCCUAUUUUGUUGGUUUCUAGGGUUGACGUAAUGAUUAAUAGGGAUAGUUGGGGGCAUUAGUAUUCAAUUGUCAGAGGUGAAAUUCUUGGAUUUAUUGAAGACUAACUACUGCGAAAGCAUUUGCCAAGGAUGUUUUCAUUAAUCAAGAACGAAAGUUAGGGGAUCGAAGACGAUCAGAUACCGUCGUAGUCUUAACCAUAAACUAUGCCGACUAGGGAUCGGAUGAUGUUAAUUUUUUAAUGACUCAUUCGGCGCCUUACGGGAAACCAAAGUGUUUGGGUUC